AACGAACGCUGGCGGCGCGCUUAACACAUGCAAGUCGAGCGAGAACCGGGCCUUCGGGCCCGGGGAAAGCGGCGAACGGGUGAGUAACACGUGGGUAAUCUGCCCUCGGCAUCGGGAUAGCCCGGGGAAACCCGGAUUAAUACCGGAUGGCCUCCGGAGCCUUCGGGCGCCGGCGAAAAGGUGGCUUCGGCUUCUGGCCGAGGAUGAGCCCGCGGCGGAUUAGCUCGUUGGUGGGGUAACGGCCUACCAAGGCGACGAUCCGUAGCUGGUCUGAGAGGACGACCAGCCACACUGGGACUGAGACACGGCCCAGACUCCUACGGGAGGCAGCAGUGGGGAAUCUUGCGCAAUGGGCGAAAGCCUGACGCAGCGACGCCGCGUGCGGGAAGAAGGCCUUCGGGUUGUAAACCGCUUUCAGGAGGGACGAAGCCACUCGGGCGAAUACCCCAGAGGGUGACGGUACCUCCAGAAGAAGCCCCGGCUAACUACGUGCCAGCAGCCGCAGUAAGAC
rnacentral:rRNA from 1 species